UUCCAAGGGAUACACACAUCUUCAGUUUCAGAGGCCAGCAGGAAGCGAAACAAAACAUCGCAGAGGAUGGGCUGCAAUGCAAGAAUGAGGGUGAAGGUGCAGGAGGAUGGCACAUGUGUGGCAGUGGACAUUGAGUACAAUCAUAAUCACCAGCUCAUGCAAACUGAUGACAUGCUGGUGUUUUUGCACUCACACAAGAAUUAUGACCCCACUAUUUUGGAGUACGUAAAGCUCUUGCAGUACCAUGAUGUCAAGCACACAACAAUCAUGUCCAUACUAUCUGAAAAUGAAGGUGGAAUCUACUUCCUAAGCAUGACCGGACGAGACCUGCUAAACCAGAAAGCCAUGAAUGCAAGAAAAGAUGAUUUGGAUGAUGUAUUGAAACUUGUUUCAUUCUUCAAAGACAUGAAGGCGAUAAAUGAUGAGUUUUUCUAUGACAUCCAAUCCAAUGCAAGCUGCCGAGGAGCCUAUCAAGACUUCGGCGAUUGCGUAACAUUCGACAUGACUUACAAGACCAACAGAUUUCAUAUGCCCCUGGGAGUGUUUGUUGGAACAAACCAUCACUUGCAGUCAACGAUAUUUGUUGUUGCCCUGAUAAGAGACGAAGAUGCAAAGUCAUUCAAGUGGUUGUUCGAUACAUUUCUACAGUGCAUGAACAACAAGCACCCAACUUGCAUUCUAACAGACCAAUGUCCAUCGAUGGCGAAAGCUAUACCACAAUCAUUUCCAAACACUGUCCACAAGCUAUGCCAUUGGCACAUCUUGAAGAAGUACAAUGAAUACCUCGCGUUGCUGUACAAAAAGUAUAAAACAUUCAAAGAGGAGUUUACAGCUAUAUUAAACUGGCCGCUCAUGCCAACGGAGUUUGAAGAUGCCUGGGCUAAACUCGUGCACAAGUACAACCUGGAGAACGACCAGAUGAUGAUGCAGCUCUGGAGUGAUAGGAAGAUGUGGAUUUCAGCAUAUUACAAGAACAUUUUCUGUGCUAGAAUGACUUCCACACAAUGAAGCGAGAGCAUGAACCACGUGCUAAAGAAAGGGUUUGUCAAGGGGACCCAGAACCAACACAAGUUUGCUAGGUGGGUCAAUGCUUGCAUACAAACUCGGAUGCAGAAAGAGAACGAGCAAACAAUGACCAGCAUGGUAUGA
rnacentral:rRNA from 1 species